UGCGCGACGCGCGCAGGCGCGCUCGCCGGCCACGCAUUGCCCGAACCAGGUAACAGAGGUUCGAUCCUGGCUCAGAUUGGAACGCCAUGGAUGCUCAAGCGCAAGUCAGAACGGGCGCACGACUUCAAUCAACAGGUGAGUAGGGUCAGUAUAGCCAACGAACGCAGCCCAGAGCGGUGAUAACUGCGAAAGUACAGCAGUUGACACCGCGCAAUACUCUUCGGGGAAAGCGGGGACCUUCGCGGGCCUGCACCAGAGCGGCCGAUAUCGGAUUAGCCAGUUGGUGGGAACAAGCCACUGAAGGCGACGAUCCGUAGCUGGUUUGAGAGGACGACCAGCCACACUGGGACCGAGAUACGGCCCAGACUCUACGGGAGUGGCAGCAGGUGGGAAUUUUGGAUAAUGGGGGGAAACUCCUGAUCCAGCCACCCUGCGUGCGAUGAAGGCUUUCGGGUUGUAAAGCACUUUGGCAAGAGAAAGAACGGCACGGACAAUACCCCGCAGUAACUGACGGUACCUGCAGAAUAAGCACCGGCCAACCACAGCGCCAGCAGCCGCGGUAGUAAUAUGCAGGGUGCAGUAAGCGUUAAUCGAAUUACUGGCGAAAGCGUGCGCAGGCGGUCUGGAAAAUAGGAGAUGUGAAAUCCCGUUGUUUUAACUUUGAACUGUAUUUUAACUACCGAGCUAGAGUGUGUCAGAGGGAGGUGGAAUUCCGCGUAGGUGAAAUGCGUAGAUAUGCGGAGGAACACCGAUGGCGAAGGCAGCCUCUGGGAUAACACUGACGCUCAUGCACGAAAGCGUGGGGAGCAACAGGAUUAGAUACUCCUGGUAGUCCACGCCCCAAACGAUGUCAACUAGCCGUUGGGGCCUUCGGGCCUUGGUAGCGCAGCUAACGCGUGGUUGACUGCCUGGGGAGUACGGUCGCAAGAUUAAAACUCAAAAGGAAUGAUGGGGGGACCCGUACAAGCGGUGGAUGAUGUGGAUUAACGAUGCAACGCGAAAACCUUACCUACCCUUGACAUGUCUGGAAUCCUGAAGAGAUUUGGGAGUGCUUCGUGAGAGGGAAUCCCGGGAACACAGGUAAAAGCGCGGCCGUCGUCAGCUCGUGUCGUGACGUUAAAGUUGUCCUGCAACGAGCGCAACCCUUGUCAUUAGUUGCUACGAAAGGCACCCUUAAUGAGACUGCCGGCACAACUGGAGGAAGGUGGGGACGACGUCAAGUCCCUUACGGCCCCCUAUGUGGCAGGGCUUCACACGUCAUACAAUGGUCGGGACAGAGGGUCACAACCCGCGAGGGGGGAGCUAAUCCUAGAAACCCGAUCGGUAGUCCGGAUCGCAGUCUGCAACCGACUGCGUGAAGUCGGAAUCGCCAGUAACCACGAUCAGCAUGUCGCGGUGAAUACGUUCGGGUCUUGUACACACUGCUACACACACUAAGCGGGGAGUGGUUUAUUUCAGAAGCAGUUAGCCUAAUAACUGUAGCGAGGAAGAUUGGCUGGCGUAGAGAUUCAGUGACUGGGGGUGAAUGGGAAGCUGCA
rnacentral:rRNA from 1 species